UUUAUCUAUUUUCUUAGGUUUUUGCCCUUUUUCCUCUUAUCUAAGUGCUCUAAAUAAAUUUUAAAAAGCCAACAGUGACCACAAUUAUAACCACAUUAAUUACGCCUCUUCGGCUUCUCCGUGGUGAAUGCUCGUUCUUAAUACACAUAUCUUCCACACAUUGCACCUUUUUCUAUUCCCACCAGAGGUAAAUGUUUUUGCAUAAUAACACAUCUCAUCGUCUUCCUUCUCUCAUUUUUAGCGGUAAAUUAAAUCUUUUUCCUCCAAAUCCACAAGUUUCCUUCCAUGGACCCGUACUUCACUGGUAAGUGUUUGAUUACCAUCGAGUAUGACUGCAUCUGUGUGAGGCUUUUUUUUGGUUCUACAUAUGAUGAUCGACCUUUGAUAAUUAAUAGCCAAACGAAAUUAUAUCGUGUGUAUCCAUUCAUUACCCCAGGCACUGUUGAGAUGUCACCAUCUUUGGUUAAGAAAGCUUAAUAAUGAGGUCAUAAUGCAAUUGAGACCUAAAUCUUACAACGCCCACGAGCCACUGGCCUGGGGUGUGGUUUUCUCAAAUGGUUGGAUCAACAUGAUGAACUAUUCUUGAAGAAUUAUAGUCUGAUACUUUGAAAGACCAAAAAGGGGAAGAUAACGCUAUUGUCUCCUGGUCAGUUAGUUAGUUAGAAUAUGUAUGUCUAAGAUAGAUAUUGAAUUGUAUUGCACAUCCUCUUUAGUGUGAUGUAAUUGUCAUUUGUUUAUCUUAAGAAUUACUUUUUACUUUUUUGUAAAUAACACGAGCUGCUUUAUUUUUAUUUAUUUUUAAUAUGUAUGUUAGGAGAA